UGGAAGGGCUCUCUUGUGGGUGUGACAGAGGCAGAACAUAGAAAUGAGAGAUUUCUAGAAGGGAGGGUGAGCAAGCAGGAAGGCAAGAGAAAUGUCCACUUCCUUCGACCUCAUUCAAAGUGGCCCUGGCACCGACAACUUGGGGCUUUAGAUCCCUGCGAAUUGGGCCCUGAGGGCUGAGACUAAGAGGAGUUAGUGACUGGCCCACGUCUGGGGAACUCGGACAGGGGAAUCCGGGUGCCCACAGAGGAAAAGACCUUCUUCCUUCCAUUGAGGAGACUUCCACCAGUCAGCUGGUCAAGCAGUGUGUGGGGCUUGUGAUUUUCUGCUCCUCGUGCUCUUUCCUCAGCAGUUAAACCUGGCCACCACAGCCUCAUUCCUUCGAGGCCACUGCAGCAGCCUCCACACUAGCCCCUGUUCUGGCCAGUCCCCCAACCACACUGCUGUGAACAGUAUUCUCCAAAAGGGAAUGUGAUGGUGUCACUCUUGAAGCCUCCUGGUGACCUGCAGGUCUGCGUGGAAGCUCAGCCCUGCCUUGGCUUGGAGCCUCUGAGUGCUGGUCCUGCCCAGCCCCCUGCCCAGCCUCCUGCCCAGGCCCCUGCCCUGGUCUUUCCUAUUCACCCCCCACUACAUGCCCAUAACGCACGACUGAUGGUGCUCUCAGUCGUGUCCGACUCUGCGACCCCAUGGACGGUAGCCUGCCAGGCUCCUCUGCCCGUGGCAUUUUCCAGGAAUUGACAAAGAAUGCAUUUCUUUUGAGAAGAGUCUCUGAGAUGCUGGAAAACAGGACAUUGGGCAGAAAUGCUGGAGGCUGAGCUCCUUUAUGGCCAUCUCCGGAACCUCAUCACUCUACCAACCUCUCUACUGUAGAGCUGGAGUUCAGAGAGAGACAGGUAUUAUGGGAUGCACAUUAACAUGUUCAUUGGAGAACUUCCCUGGUGAUGCUGAGGAUAAGAAUCUGCCUGCCAAUGCAGGGGACACAGGUUCGAUCCCUGAUCUGGGAGGAUUCCACAUGCCACAGAGCAACUAAGCCAGGGACCAUGACGACUGAGCCCAUGCUAUACAGCCUGAGAGCCACAACUACUAAAACCUGUGCAUCUAGAGCCUGUGCUCCACAAGAGAAGCCAUCACAAUGAGAAGCUUGAGCACGGUAAUGAAGUGUAGCCUCUGCUCACCGCAACUAGAGAAAGCCCAUGCAGCAGUGAAGAUACAGUGCAACCAAAAAUACAUAAAUUAAUUAAUUAACUUUAAAAACAUGUUCAUUGGAAUUGCAAAAGGAAUCAGUCUUCUUUUUUAACAGAAGGGAAGCCUGAUUUGCUAGUUGGUUUGACAUUGAAGCCUGUGCCAAUGAGGAUAGUUGGCAGUUUUUUGUUUUUGUUUUUUUCCCAUGAAUCAAAUGAGAGAAACCUUUAGAUCCAAAGUUUUGGUGAAAACAAGGUGGAAAGCCUUUGAUAAGAUAAAAAUUUUUUUUGGUAAAUUUUCAUGGUAAUAAAAAAUAUUUAUAUUUCCCCAACAGUUUCUAAGUUCAUCAGGGUAGACAACUGCUUUUCAGUGAGAGAGGGACAGUAGCUUUGUCAAUAGCUACUUGAGAGGCUAUAGUAUGAAGCCGAUUUCAGUGACUCCAGAAACUGAGAAGUGAAUAAGUCUAAAGAUAUGACCAAUUCACAUGUAGGUCAGUGCUUCCUGAGUCUUUGAUUCCAAAACAAUUGAAAGAGGACCUGCUAGAGUUGGUAAGUGUUAUAGAUUGACUUAUGUUCCCUGUCCCCUCGGGGCACCCACAAAAAACUUACAUAUGAGUGAAGUCCUAAUCCCCAGUACCUCUGAAGUUGACUUUUUUUGGAGAUAAGAUUUUAAGAGAGGUAAUCAAGUUAAUCGGAGAAGGCAAUGGCACCCCACUCCAAACUCUUGCCUGGAAAAUCCCAUGGAUGGAGGAGCCUGGUAGGCUGUAGUCCAUGGGGUCACUAAGAGUCCGACACGACUGAGCGACUUCACUUUCACUUUUCACUUUCAUGCAUUGGAGAAGGAAAUGGCAACCCGUCUUGCCUGGAGAAUCCCAGAGACGGUGGAGCCUGGUGGGCUGCCGUCUAUGGCGUCACACAGAGUCAGACAUGACUGAAGCAACUUAGCAGUAGCAGCAGCAAUCAAGUUAAUGGGCUUCCCUGGCGGCUCAGACAGUAAAGAAUCCACCUGCAAUGCGGGAGACCUGGGUUGGGAAGAUCCCCUGGAGGACAGCAUGGCAACCCACUCCAGUUUUCUUGCCUGGAGAAUCCCAUGGACAGAGGAGCCUAAGUGGGCUACAGUCCGUGGGCUCGCAGAGUCAGACACAAGUGAGCGAAUGAG
ensembl:lncRNA